GAAAACUAAAGGAGUCAUAUAUCAGCCCCUAUGGUAAACUGCCUGAAUCUUAGAGAAAAUUGCUCUUAAUAGCACAAACAUUUUGGUCAAUACUCACCACUGCAAUGAGUGUUUUUAGUGGUUUAGCCUUUUAAGUGCAUGACUUGUUGACUUGAACUGAUUAACCAAUAUGCCGUUACGAUUUCUUUUUAGGUUCGACCUGUAUUACUGCGAAAAGGAUGACAAAGAAAUAUUCCAGUUUCUGGUGAAUCUGACUGUAGCAGCAGCUGAGUGGGAUUCAGCUACAGGAGAGAGUUUAUCUGAACUCGUAUCCUCUGUGUGCAGCUACAGUACAUUCCCUUUGGGUCAUGAGGACAUCUGUAAACGGAGUGAUUUCCUCAUUGAUCUUCAUUCAUAUGUGAAGGUCUAUGAGACUAAGACAGACAGGAGUCUCCUUCCAGCAUUACACUCAGCUUACCAGUCAGCUCCUGCAGUCUGGUCCAUAGACCUCUCAAAGAGAAAAGCCUCCAUCCUCCUAGAGGUGCUGAAACUCCAAACACAGAAGAAACCAGUAGAGCUGAGAGGCUGGUCAGAUGAAGAGAGUGAAGUGAGGAGUUUCCUUCAGUGUCUGCCCUACAUCUCACAACUCAGAUUCCUACAAGAUUUCCUGAUUAAGAUUCCUGAAAAAGUUUCCCAGUUCCUGGUGAAUCUGAGUAUAGCAGCAGCUGAGUUUGAUUCCGCUACAGAACAGAAUUUCUCUAAGAUCGUAUCCUCUGUGUGCAGCUACAGUACAUUCCCUUUGGGUCAUGAGGACAUCUGUAAACGGAGUGAUUUCCUCAUUGAUCUUUAUUCAUAUGUGAAGGACUAUGAGACUAAGACAGACAGGAGUCUCCUUCCAGCAUUACAAUCUGUUUACCAGUCAGCACCUGCAGUCUGGUCCAUAGACCUCUCAAAGAGAAAAGCCUCCAUCUUCCUAGAGGUGCUGAAACUCCAAACACAGAAGAGACCAGUAGAGCUGAGAGGCUGGUCAGAUGAAGAGAGUGAAGUGAGGAGUUUCCUUCAGUGUCUGCCCUGCAUCUCACAACUCAGAUUCCUACAAGAUGUCCUGUUUAAGAUGCCUGAAAAAGUUUCCCAGUUUCUGGUGAAUCUGAGUGUAGCAGCGGCUGAGUGGGAUUCAGCUACAGCACAGAAUUUCUCUAAGAUCUUAUCCUCUGUGUGCAGCUACAGUACAUUCCCUUUGGGUCAUGAGGACAUCUAUAAACAGAGUGAUUUCCUCAUUGAUCUUCAUUCAUAUGUGAAGGUCUAUGAGACUAAGACAGACAGGAGUCUCCUUCCAGCAUUACACUCAGUUUACCAGUCAGCACCUGCAGUCUGGUACAUAGACCUCUCAAAGAGAAAAGCCUCCAUCCUCCUAGAGGUGCUGAAACUCCAAACACAGAAGAGACCAGUAGAGCUGAGAGGCUGGUCAGAUGAAGAGAGUGAAGUGAGGAGUUUCCUUCAGUGUCUGCCCUACAUCUCACAACUCAGGUCAGUGAAGUGCUUGAUUCAUUCAGUACAUGCAGUAAAAUAAAAUAAAUAUAAUAUUUGUGUCGUUUGGAAGUUUUGUGUCGUGCAUGUGUCUGUGUGUGUGUGUUAGUGAUGUGUGGGUCGACCCAUAAGCCAUGGGCCACAGGUAUGGGAAAACCUACCAGAAAAUAUUACAGGUUUGGGUGAGUGGGGUCAAGAGAGCUACAAUGCAGCAUUCUGACUGAGUUAGAAA
ensembl:lncRNA